CGUGUUUCCCCUUCAGGUUUCGUUUCUUCUCGCACGCGGUAGGACUGUAAGAUUCCCCGGCGGCUCUAACAUUUUCUAAAUUUGAAUUCGCUUCAUUGAAAUAUGAUGAUGCCAGGCAGACAGCAAUGUGUGUUCAGUGGAAUUCAAUUUUCCUGAUCACUGGCUCCAUCGAUCAGUCUGUUUGCAAAGGGCUGAUGCAAGCAUCAGUACACCUCGUGUAGACGAUGGGCAGAGUCAGAAAAAUACCUCUGUGGGACCUGCCGCAACUCCAUCAAACUCUGGGACAGGGAAGCACACUGACUGACCACAUGUUCGACCACCUCACAGAAUCCUUCUCUCUGGCAUCCAUCUUGGCUGAACAAGGCAUGCACCACCAGGAAGGACUCUGAAUCAGAAUGAUUGGCUAAAGACAACCCAGAAACUAAUCUCAUCACCAUAAAAGACUGCGAGCCACGCAGAGCUGUUCUCCUGGGUUCCCUUACCCUACUGCUCUCCCCCCGGGUGCCCUUUCCCAAUAAAAUCUCUUGCUUUGUCAGCACGUGUGUCUCCUUAGACAAUUCAUUUCUGAGUGUUAGACAAGAGCCCAGUAUCAGGCCCUGGAAGCGGUCCCCCCUUCCUGCAACAAUUUCAUUCAGAAUUUUGAAUGCUCCCCUACACCAUCUUCUAGCUUCUUGUAUGACUGCUGAAAUAAAUCUGAAAUGAUUCUAACUCUUGAUCUUUUAAAUAUUAUUACAACUUUACCUCUCCUCUCCUCUCAUUUCCUAGUAGUACAAGUUGCAAGAAAAGUUUAUUAGAAGCUCUGGACAUUAUUUGCCAACUAAGGUCCGUCUAGUCAAGGCUAUGGUUUUUCCUGUGGUCAUGUAUGGAUGUGAGAAUUGGACUGUGAAGAAGGCUGAGUGCCGAAGAAUUGAUGCUUUUGAACUGUGGUGUUGAAGAAGACUCUUGAGAGUCCCUUGGACUGCAAGGAGAUCCAACCAGUCCAUUCUGAAGAUCAGCCCUGGGAUUUCUUUGGAAGGAAUGAUGCUAAAGCUGAAGCUCCAGUACUUUGGCCACCUCAUGAGAAGAGUUGACUCAUUGGAAAAGACUCUGAUGCUGGGAGGGAUUGGGGGCAGGAGGAGAAGGGGAGACAGAGGAUGAGAUGGCUCGAUGGCAUCACUGACGCAAUGGACGUGAGUCUGAGUGAACUCUGGGAGUUGGUGAUGGGCAGGGAGGCCUGGCGUGCUGCGAUUCAUGGGGUCGCAAAGAGUUGGACACGACUGAGCAACUGAACUGAACUGAACUGGACUUAAAGGGGAGUGAACUUGCUGAGUGAGGACUCUAACGGUGAGUUUGGGCAAUUUUAUAUAAAAUUUGUAAAUGUUUCCUCUUUCUAGGGAAGAAUCCUCCCUUCUCCAGUCUUAUAUUGGAGGACACAGCCUGGUAUCUGGCAUUCUUAGAGCUGUGUUGGCAGAGCUGGCUGGAGACCUGAAUAUUUAGGACACAAAAGUUUUCUUGUCCUGUUUUCAUAAUGGUGCCAUACUAUCAGCUGCACCUAGAAUCCUCUAGCCCAGGGUGUAUUGUUUUAUCCCAUCCAGAGAACACAUUUCAAGUCUUCUAUCAGAGAGGGGGAGGGUGUACACCUGGCUGCAAUGUGUGAGGGAAGCAAUCUAGAGAUCUGUGUCAUAAACAGAUUUUUAAGCAGAC
ensembl:lincRNA